rnacentral:tRNA from 1 species
GGCCUGUUAGCUCACUCAGUUAGAGCAUGGUGCUGAUAACACUGAGGUCGUGGGUUCGAUUCCCGUUCGGUCCC